UAGAAAUGGCACCCUAAUAUUACCCUGCGAAGGCACUACCCAUUCACUCAUGAGCAACAUAAACCUAGUCGUCGCGAGCAACGACGGAGACCUCACCACCACGCAAUGGGAACCUCUCUUCUUCGCUCCCACGAUUGUCUUCAAGGCCCCGACGCAAUGCCCCUCUAUUCAUCUUCCAUUAUAUCACAAAGAAACCCUAACCCUAGCCCCAAUCCUUCUCACGCUCGCCGGCGGAAGGUCUACGACGGCGAUCGCUCCGGCAUGGUGGUGAAGGGCCCCGGCGCGAACCUCGUCAUGGGCCAAGUCAAGAUCCUCAAGAGAGGCGAGAAGUUAAGCCCCAGCGCGAACCUCACCCUACGUAACCCUAACCUCCUCUUCUCGGUCCAUUACGAGAGCCAUUUCUUGCAACCAAUAAAUUAAAUGAUGUUAAAUCAAUGAAGGGGACAACAUACAGGAUGGCUCCUGAGGUUGUAAAAGGAAAAAACCAAGCUUAUGGGCUUCCAGCUGAUAUGUGGAGUCUGGGAUGCACUGUACUGGAAAUGUUAACAGGUCAACUUCCAUACUCUAAUUUGGAAUUUGUAUGUGUCAUUAUUUAUAUGCAAUUCUCUUUAGUCUUUAGCCAUUGGCAUCACAUAGUAAGGGUGAUCAUGUUACACUUGAGAAAAACAAUUUUGACUUUUGAUAGUGAAAAAGGCUAGUCACUUGUCAUCACUAUUUUUUUUUUUUUUGUACAUUUCAAAGUAGCUAAAAAUAAUCAAAUUUCAUGCUCAAGAGCACAGAGCUUGAUCAAGCUCAAGUCUUUUUGGGAUUUCAGUGGAGGAAAAAGUGUUACUAAAAUGCCUGGAAAACCUGACACUGAUGAUUGGCACGUAGAGCGUGGCGUAAGUUUCAGGGAGGAUGAUGGUGAUAUUCGUAGGCAGCCAUUGGAGCUUAUUGGUGGUGAUUUGGAUGGAGUGAAGAAAGAGAGACAAGCACUUCGGUCCAAAAUCAAGCAGAUUGAUGAUGUACUCAAAACCAUUGACAAGGAUAUCCAGACUCUACAGGAUGAACUGGCAGUUGUUUCUCAGAAGAGGGACAAAUCAUUUGAGAGCAUGCAGCAGCUCAGAAAAUAGCGUGAGGAGGGGGUAUGUUUCACUUUAAAUAUGAGAAAACAGCUCAGAAAAUAGCUCAUUUAAUCUUGGUAUUUGUAAAACCUGUAUCUAUAACUCGUUGUUUUAGAAAUUUAGUUGAAAUUGUAACAAGACUCUUGGAGUUCUAUCAAACUGGAAAUUAUUUAGCACAUCUGCUGUCUUGAAUCUCGUAAAGGAGAGUUUUGUCCUUGAUUUAAAUUUCAAUAAAACAUGCUUUUUUUUAUAUA